UAAGAUUGAAACGGAUAGAGCCGACGUAUCUAACCCGUAUUCAGCUGUAGAGCGGUACUUGGUAGAUUGACUGGUCCUGCUUCUGGCUGGUCGAUUUGCUUUGAGUGCUGUUUUGCAGUGCAUUUACAGGUGGAGUGCGCUGAGAGAUACACUUCAGCGGUUGGAAGCCGGUCAAGAGGCCUUUACCUUCGGGCAAGAAACCCAGACUGGUGAAAGACUGUUUGUCGUGUUUGCUUAUACGAGUGUGGCCUACGAGUCGGCUAGCUUCUUGUUCUGCGGUGGAUAGCGGUCGCAUGCGACUGUUACUGCUUGCGGUUUAGGUUGCUGGUGCGGAUUCUCGCGCUCAAUCUCGGUGUAAAAGUUGGUCAUCUAUCCGACCCGUCUUGAAACACGGACCAAGGAGUUUAGCGGAUGCGCGAGUCAUUGGGUGUUAAAACCUAAAGGCGCAAUGAAAGUAAAGGUAUCCUUAUGGAACUGAUAUGCGAUCCUGGGCAUCUUGGUGCCUAGGCGCAGCAUAGCCCCAUCCUAAUUGCUUGCAAUGGGGUGGAGGNAGAGCGUAUCCGCUGAGACCCGAAAGAUGGUGAACUAUGCCUGAGCAGGAUGAAGCCAGAGGAAACUCUGGUGGAAGUCCGAAGCGGUUCUGACGUGCAAAUCGAUCGUCUGACUUG
rnacentral:rRNA from 1 species